GUAGCGUUGUGUUUCUGGACGAGGAGACCUCCUCUGCAGUUGGAUCCAGAUGCCUUUCUCUGGACGGAGGAUGAGCUCCCCUAGUGGGUGGAGGUCCUCACGCUUCUGACAUGCCUCAACAUUGAAGUUACGGAAGAUGGAUGCCAGGAUAACCUUCUCCUCCAUCAUAGCAAAGCGCUGACCUGGAAUUUAAUAUGUUUGGAUUAUGGAAAAGCUGUACUCUCAAACCACUGGUCAGACCUGCUUUAGUAUUUCUACUUCUUGUUGAGUUUAAUGCAGAUUUAUUUAAAUGUUCUGCCUUUAAAACAUUUAUUAAAUAUACGUACAAUGGGAUAAGGAAAAAGUGCAAUCAGUCAAUUUUCCCAUAGUUUUUGUCAAGAGAUAGUCUAGACUCUAGACUUGCUCACUCACUCUCUCAUUUAAACAGCACAAAACAGAUCAAUAGACGUCUCAAAGCACACAAAACCAGACAAGAAAACACAGACAGACAAUCAAAACCUUUUCCCAAAACAACCAUUUUCAAAAUGACCUGUUCCUAGGGGGGUCCUGUGAUUGAAUUCUGUCUGUGACCUUUUCUUCAAUUUUCUGUUCUUACCAAUACAGUUUCGGAGCCCAGCAGAAAAAGGAAUGAAUGCGUAUGGAUGCCUCCCAACAGAAUUCUCAGGCAGGAAACGUUCCGGAUGGAAUUCUUCAGGGUUUGGGAAGUGGCGUGCGUUGCGGUGGACGGCAUAGGAUCCUACGGGCAAAGAAUGGCACGGAGGGGAACAAACGCAGGGACUCCUUCACCACACACUCCAGAUACCUGAGCUUCUUCAGAUCUUCAGUGUUGAUUGGCCGAUCCGACUCACC